rnacentral:lncRNA from 1 species
UGCAUAUUAUACAAUUUAUUAAGCUGAAAACUUCCAAACCUUGAGACUUCAGUCCAUUACAACAUACCAGAAACAAGCUGGCGUGGGUACGACGUACUAGCAACAAGUCGGCACAGGUACAACAUACCAAGAACGGCACAGGUACGACAUAACAAGAACAAGUUGGCACAGGUACAACACACAACAGUGUCUCAAACAACAAAAUGUAAACUUCCAAAAUCAUCAGUCUUAGCUACAUAAGUUUGGUAUGCACACUCCAGCAUCUGGAUUUUGCUGUUCCUUCCAUAUCCUCCCAGUAACUCUCAGCUUAAGCUCCUU